GGCGGGAGGGGCAGAAAGAGGAUGGAGCUGGAGUGAGUUGCUGUUGGGUUGGCGGCUGCGGCAGCUGGAGCUCAGCUGAGGGUCGCCUCCCUUUCUGGGCGGUAGCAGCAGCAGCAGCUCCGCUCUGUGCGCCUCCUGGCAGGACUUUCUCUUUCUUCCCCUGCCUGCUCCUCUAGGCUCCGCUCCCUCCCUCUCCCUUAGGGCUGCUGCUCCCGUCCUCUUCCUCCCUGCCCUUUCCUGGGUCUCUCUCGUACACUCUUUCUUCCUUUCCCUUUGCUCCGACUCGCCUCCCCUCCUCUGCUGACUCCCACCCCCCCCACCCACCCCUCUCUUUCCUAGAGAGAAAGCCUCGCUCCUUCCCUCCUCCGCCCCUCAUUGUCUCGUGGAGCGAAUUGCCAAAUUUCAAGGCAGGGGGAACUAUGGGCGCGGGCAAAGCAGAGCCAGCAGAGGCGGCUGCUCUUUCGGGCACCACAUAGAAGAGCCCCUCGACCUCCUCCGUGGGUGGUUGCGUGAGUGGCCGCUCGCACCGCGCAGAGCCGCCGCCGCCUCCUGCUCCUCUUCCUCCGGGGCUCCAGCCCGCCCCUGCCCCGGUUGCAAGCGGCGCGUGCAGCUUCUGGGGGACUCGCCCGCUGGAGCCAGAUGUGCGACCUGCUAGACUCGCAGCCCGUCGCCGAGAAGAAGCUCAGCAGGAUGAAAAAGUUGCGGCGAACUUUGUCGGAGAGUUUCGGCCGGAUAGCCCUGAAGAAAGAAGAUAAUGGCUUUGAUGAGAUAUGUGUCACAAAGAUGUCUACACGGAACUGCCAAGGAAUGGAUUCUGUGAUCAAGCCCUUGGACACAAUUCCAGAGGAUAAAAAAGUCAGGGUUCAGAGGACACAGAGCACUUUUGAUCCAUUCGAGAAGCCAAAUAAUCAAGUGAAGAGAGUGCAUUCAGAGAACAAUGCCUGCAUUAACUUCAAGACUUCAUCUACUGGGAAGGAAUCGCCUAAAAUCAGACGGCAUUCCAGCCCUAGCUCUCCGACAAGUCCCAAAUUUGGAAAAGCAGACUCUUAUGAAAAACUGGAAAAGCUCGGGGAAGGUUCAUAUGCCACAGUAUACAAAGGCAAAAGCAAGGUAAAUGGCAAAUUGGUGGCACUGAAAGUAAUUAGACUUCAAGAGGAGGAAGGCACCCCUUUUACAGCCAUCAGGGAAGCUUCUCUUUUGAAAGGCUUAAAACAUGCAAAUAUUGUGCUGCUUCAUGAUAUCAUACACACAAAGGAAACAUUGACACUGGUAUUUGAGUUUGUGCACACUGAUUUAUGCCAGUACAUGGACAAACAUCCUGGAGGACUUCAUCCAGACAAUGUGAAGUUAUUUUUAUUUCAAUUGCUACGAGGACUGUCGUAUAUCCACCAGCGUUACAUUUUGCACAGGGACCUGAAACCCCAAAACCUCCUGAUCAGUGACACUGGGGAGUUGAAGCUGGCAGAUUUUGGACUUGCAAGAGCCAAAUCUGUCCCCAGCCACACAUACUCAAAUGAAGUGGUUACCCUGUGGUACAGACCUCCAGAUGUCCUCUUGGGCUCAACAGAAUAUUCCACUUGCCUUGACAUGUGGGGAGUUGGCUGUAUCUUUGUAGAGAUGAUUCAAGGUGUUGCUGCUUUCCCAGGAAUGAAAGACAUCCAAGAUCAACUUGAAAGAAUAUUUUUGGUACUGGGAACCCCAAAUGAAGAUACCUGGCCUGGAGUUCAUUCUCUUCCCCAUUUUAAACCAGAUCGCUUUACGCAGUACAGCGCUAAAAACCUUAGGCAAGCUUGGAAUAAACUUAGCUAUGUGAACCAUGCAGAGGAUCUGGCCUCCAAAUUACUGCAGUGUUUCCCAAAGAACAGAUUGUCAGCACAGGCAGCUCUGAGCCAUGAGUAUUUCAGUGAUCUGCCCCCGCGGCUAUGGGAGCUAACUGACAUGUCUUCUAUUUUUUCUGUACCGAAUGUAAGAUUACAACCAGAGGCUGGAGAAAGCAUGAAAGUCUUUGGAAAAAACAAUAUUUAUGGCAAAGGUCUAAUCAAACAUUAAGCACUGAGGAACAUUUUGAUUUCCCACAAUUCAGGAAUUAAGAUCACCAAACUAGAGGAGAGAGACCAAUCCUAAAGAGAGAGCCAACAUUAUGAAGACAUCCUGGCCCCGUUUCCUUGCUCUCCCGAUGGUGGAUUUCAGUCACAAGAAAAAAUGAUGCUGACAAGAUCCUGUUCACCCUCCCCGCACCAUUUAUUUAAAACCUUGCACGCAUUUGAAUACCUUGUGAUUUUGGAGACCUCCAUAAAGAUUUAUAAGCUUUUUGCUUACUUAUAUACAGCAUGUUCUUUUAUUUCAGCCUUUUGUGUUGUUGAUUUAAGUUCGUUUUUUCACUGCAGCACAUCAUCCUUGUAAAGGUUUUAUGCUUUCACCAGCAAUGUCUUAAAUGCAUUAAGACAGCACAUUUGGUGUUCACAUUUCCUCAGUAAUGUCUGUACAUAAAGCCAGUCAUGGCGUAGAACAAUGUGUGUGUUUUAUGAGAGGUUCCACAUAUUUUGCAAUUCGUCAGAAUGAUGUUUUACGCUAGAACAAAGUUUGCAGGUUGGUCAUGACACAAUCAAUAGCUUGCAAUUGUGCCCAUAUUUUGCCACUUGGAAAUUAUGAUCCUUUCCUUCACCAUGGCAAUAAGUGCAUCUUAAUAAUAAACUCUAAUUUGGGUACUGUACUGUACUUAGGUUGCAUAGCAUAGCAAAUUUAAAAAGAGACUUCCAGUGGUGGCGGGCUGUGGGGUGGGAGGGGGGACUAUAUAUGAUAUAGUAAUGAGUACUUUGAAUAUACUAGGCCCUUUCUUUUUUGCAGUUUUUGUGGUUCUUGGUUUUAUUUUUACUUUUUCCAUGUAGCUUAGUUCAAAAAUGUUUUCUAAGAAGGAAAAUAGAAAAGAUGGAGGAAUGAGUUUACAUUAGGAUAAGCACUAUGGUGUAGAAACUCUAGUUGCUAAAUGAGCCAUUUUUAAAAAAUACUAGUUUUGAGUAGUCGUCCGAAUUCCAAAUAUUUGCUCUUCCAAACCAAAGCAUCUUUCCAGUUAUUUUUCUAAGAUUUUCAGAUCUGAUUGGAAGAUGCCUUUAGCUACUGCAUCUUCAAAUGGGCUUUUUCCCAAUAAUUGUUCAACAUAAAUGCAAUUGAGUAAGAGGGGACUUUUACUUUCCUUGUUUUGAGAGAGGGGAAGAUGGAGCCUAUGGGAAUCUGAAGGACUAUUGCUGCUUUUGCCUGCCACACACCAUCCCUAAUAUGAUUAAUAAAACUUGAAUUCUAUGAGACGAGAAAUGGAGCCAAUCCAAAAAAUAAAUUAGACAUGCUUACUGUAAGGAUUUCUCGACAAUUUUAUUCAAGACAGAAAGCUAUUUUGCCUCCCUAGUAUAUCAGCUGCCUAAAAACACAUCUAUUUUUGUAACACGUUGAUUAUAGCAUCCAAUGCUUAGGGGAAAGGGUUAAAACAGGGAUAUAGGGCCCAUUUGAUAGUAUCUUCUUCUUUUUUUAGACUGGUGGCAUUGUGUUGCUUAGAAUUUGCAAAUACUUGAUUUUAUGAGAUUUCUGUUUAGUUUAAGAAAACUACAGUCAAUAUUAUUUUUUAUGUCCAUACAAUGUUAUAAACUGUGAAAUUGCUCCCAGUAGCUGUACAGGAAUUAAAAAUAUUGCUUUGGGACAAUUUUACUGUUUAAAUAUUGCUUCCAAAAUUUUGCCUAUGAGUAUCAAACUUAUUUGCUACAAAUUCUGUGUCUGUAGGAACAAGUAGCCACAAAAUCCAAUGGAACAUUUUGAAUAUAACAAAAAAGCAUUAACUAUUAUUUUGUUUGAGUUUCAUACUCUGCCUUCUCUGUGUGAUCUCCUUUGUCAAGUUAGGUCAUACAUAGAUGCAGUGGAUAUUUCAAUAUGAGGGUAUAUUUUAAAAAGAAAAGUCUUGGUGCUUGCAAAAAUGCAAGGAAUCUUUCAGGACAUCAUAAAGGUUUCAGUUAGGAAAAUGAGGGUCGAUCUUUAGAUGUAAAAUCUCUGGCUUUGGCAGCUUAUGCAGGGAGGUGAGCAAUUACACUCCUUGUUGAAGUGUCUGAGAGCAGUUCCACUACAAUGUUCCAUUCCAUGGGCUAAAAUGCAUAGCACUUUACACAACUCAAACAUUCAGAGCUUCUGCAUAUAUUUUUUGUGUGUGUGCACAUUAUGUAUACUUUUAAAAAAAAUUGCUGAUGCCAUUUAACAUAUUGGCCAUAAUUUUUAAUAUUCUAGUUACCAAGAAGUCUGCAGGUCAGUUCCCUCUUCAAAUAAGUGCUUUUGGAGUGGCUUUCCCUGGAAGAUUAUGUGCAGGAAACAUUAUGUGAGAAUUAAACACCUAUACCUUUACCAAUCUUCAGAAUACGACAUACUUGUCAGCGCUCUGAGAUCUUUCUUACAGAAUCCAUGUGGAUUUUCAAUUGCAAUGACAUUUACCAGUUGUAUCCCUUCACUGAAAUCAUUCCAAAUAAUGCAUAGGGGGUGGGGGGUUACAUUGAUGGCAGCACUAUAUUUAGGUACUUAAAUAAAUUACUAUUGGUCCUUUUUAAAGGUGAUGAGAUUCCAACAAAAUGGAGUUUACAAAAGAUAGUUUGAUAUUGUGCAAUUUGAUCUUCACUUGGAUCCAGAUCUUCCAGCUGGGUGGAAGAAAAGUUCAGUACACUAUAGUUACCCAUCCAAAUUUGGGAGUAAUGAAGAUUUCAUGGCCCUACCCUUCUCUUGGGGUAGAGAAGGGCCAGGCUUUACUGGGCCAGGCUUUACACUUAAAUAUCUUCUCACACCCUGGAUAUUUUUGAAUGCCUGCUAAAUCCCAAGAGUGGGUGAUUUUAUUUUAUAUUUUAUAGGGCUCCUUCCAUGACCAUCCCCCCACCCCCCUGCCAUGGUUCCCUUAAGGGUCACUCAGGCAAAGUCACUAGUUCUGUUCUAGAAGAUGUGAAGGCAACUCAGGGUGGCUUUGAACAUUUUGUAAUCAAGGGGACUUACAUUUUGCAAUUAUCCCCACUAUCAGUUGUGCAAGCUGUUUUGCUUCAGAAACUUGUGCACCUGACUGUAGUGAGGGCUGGAAAUGCUAAACUCCUGAUAUUACAAUGAUCUAAAGCAAUGGCCCCCAGUUAGGGAACUUCUGAUCUAAAGAAGAAGUAACUGUCAUCUUAUUGGUUUCUCCCAUGUUAUAUAAUACCUAAAGCUAUUCCGAACCAUUCAGGAUUGCAACAAGAGCCAAGACUUAGGACAAUUAUUAUUCUCCUUCCAGGUACUUGAAAAGGAGCUAUUUGCAUUCUCAGUUUUCCAUGUCUAUAUGGCCUGAUUCACACAUUAUUCUAGUAGUGUGAUUGAUUGCUGGUUCCCAUUCCUUUCCAGCAUUUGAAAGAUGAAUCACAUACGUCCUGUGAGAUCAAACUAUGUGAUAUCAAGUUAUUUGCUCUUUCAAUGUUUCCAGAGUGGGCAGACAACCACCCACAGAGAAAAAAUGCUGCUUUGAUAAUGUAUGGAUUGGGCCUGCAUUCAAGGUGAGACAGCUUUCCACUUCCUUACAGUUCUUGUAAAGGUGUCAUCCUGAUUUUUGUGGGCUUAUCGGGAAGGGGAGACAGUCCUGAAGCUAUGAAGAAAGAGGCCUGUUCACCCUCCAGUGAAGGAUGAGACAAAUCUUGGACCUAUGAGAAACUGAGGGGAAAGCUAGAUCAGUGGUAAUGAAAACUUUCUUUAGAGACUGUGGCGGACAUCUUAAGAGAACUCGCACAUUCAGUGGCUCUGCAGAGAGACAACGGUGGCCUGGACACAACUCCCCCAGCUGUUGUGCAAGAGAAGCUUUGCUCACAACUCUGCCUGUGCCUCAGAAAUGUCCUGUAGGAGAGAAAACAUAUCACUGAGGGUCAGCAGCAUACUUCCUCUCUUACAAAAUGCUCCUGGAGCAUGGGCAGAGCUACGAAGUUUCACCCCUUUGUGCAGCGGAAGCCUGGGGAGGUUGCGGGCCCCGUAGGGUCCCCACAGAGCCUUCUCACACAGAUUCUUCUCACAAGAGUUGGCCACUCUCUAUAAGCUUACGGGUUGCCUGCGUUACAGUAACCCUACCAAACAUGCAGAGCACCUGAGCAUUGCAUUAGUAUCGACAUUACUUGACUAGACAGUAUCCUUGAGGUUAUUUCGGGGUUAUUUUAAGCAUAAGGUUAUUAAGCAGCACAGGAAAGCUGAUAUACAGUGGCUGGAGAGAGAUGGGGACCCAGUCUUCCUUUCGUUGUGUGGGGGAUGGAUACACACACACACACACACCCCUAUUCAUGCUGGCUUAGGUUAUCAUAAAACUCAGCCCUCUCAGCAUUGAGGGCAAUCAACAUUGAGUAUGAUUUUUUGUACACACACUCAGCUGAAUGUGUGGCAAAUAUGGACUGUAUGUUCUAUACAAAAAUAUAUAUUGGUUUUGUAUUUAAUAUGAUAAAUGACACUUGGACUGUACAGACUGGCAGUGAAUGCAGAUACUUCAUAUAAACAGAAUUAUGUUCCAUUAUCCAUCCAUCCUUGACACAAAGGCAUGGAGGUUAUAUGUUAUUGCCUUGAAAUAUUCUUAAAAACAAAAAUCGAAAGGAUGCACUAAGAAAUUCCCUAAUCCCACUCCUCCAAUAAACUGCACUUCUGCAGUGCUACACAUAAAAUCUUCCCUUGUUAGGGCUUUUUAUAUGAAGCACAACAAGGUGCUCUUUUUAACAGGGGUUUGGUACUCAAACAAUGUUAAUUAUAUUAAAUAUGUUUACACACAUACAUAUAUCCACACACUUUAGAAUGACAGCUUAGUAAGCAGUAUGGUUAAGUAAAUGUUAUAUUGUUUGUUUCAACUUGUAAUUUGUCUGUAUUAUGAAAGAUGUAAUGGUUUGUCAGGUGUAACUUUCCGUGUAAUAUGAUAUUGAAUAAAGUGUAACAGGAUUGCUA